rnacentral:sRNA from 20 species
CACCUCUCAGAUUCUACUUUUGUAGCCCGUCACGGUCGCCGCAAGGCGAGGGAGUCAUGACAGACUUAUAUUUAAUAUAAACGUGGUAAAGCCGUACCUGAGCACGUCUGAUGUCAUGU